UCAGCUCGUGUCGUGAGAUGUUGGGUUAAGUACCCGCAACGAGCGCAACCCUUAUCAUUAGUUGCUAACAUUCAGUUGAGAACUCUAAUGAGACUGCCAGUGAUAAACUGGAGGAAGGUGGGGAUGACGUCAAAUCAUCAUGCCCCUUAUGACCUGGGCUACACACGUGCUACAAUGGCCGGUACAAAGAGUUGCGAAACUGUGAAGUUAAGCUAAUCUCAUAAAGCCGGUCUCAGUUCGGAUUGUAGUCUGCAACUCGACUACAUGAAGUCGGAAUCGCUAGUAAUCGCGAAUCAGAAUGUCGCGGUGAAUACGUUCUCGAGUCUU
rnacentral:rRNA from 1 species